rnacentral:rRNA from 1 species
GACGAACGCUGGCGGCGUGCUUAACACAUGCAAGUCGAACGGAAAGGCCCUGCUUUUGUGGGGUGCUCGAGUGGCGAACGGGUGAGUAACACGUGAGUAACCUGCCCUUGACUUUGGGAUAACUUCAGGAAACUGGGGCUAAUACCGGAUAGGAGCUCCUGCUGCAUGGUGGGGGUUGGAAAGUUUCGGCGGUUGGGGAUGGACUCGCGGCUUAUCAGCUUGUUGGUGGGGUAGUGGCUUACCAAGGCUUUGACGGGUAGCCGGCCUGAGAGGGUGACCGGACACAUUGGGACUGAGAUACGGCCCAGACUCCUACGGGAGGCAGCAGUGGGGAAUAUUGCACAAUGGGCGGAAGCCUGAUGCAGCAACGCCGCGUGCGGGAUGACGGCCUUCGGGUUGUAAACCGCUUUCGACUGUGACGAAGCGUGAGUGACGGUAAUGGGUAAAGAAGCACCGGCUAACUACGUG